rnacentral:rRNA from 1 species
UUAGUGGAAGCGUCUGGAAAGGCGCGCGAUACAGGGUGACAGCCCCGUACACAAAAGCGCAUGUGCUGUGAGCUCGAUGAGUAGGGCGGGACACGUGGUAUCCUGUCUGAAUAUGGGGGGACCAUCCUCCAAGGCUAAAUACUCCUGACUGACCGAUAGUGAACCAGUACCGUGAGGGAAAGGCGAAAAGAACCCCGGCGAGGGGAGUGAAAAAGAACCUGAAACCGUGUACGUACAAGCAGUGGGAGCACCCUUCGGGGUGUGACUGCGUACCUUUUGUAUAAUGGGUCAGCGACUUAUAUUCUGUAGCAAGGUUAACCGUAUAGGGGAGCCGGAGGGAAACCGAGUCUUAACCGGGCGUUAAGUUGCAGGGUAUAGACCCGAAACCCGGUGAUCUAGCCAUGGGCAGGUUGAAGGUUGGGUAACACUAACUGGAGGACCGAACCGACUAAUGUUGAAAAAUUAGCGGAUGACCUGUGGCUGGGGGUGAAAGGCCAAUCAAACCGGGAGAUAGCUGGUUCUCCCCGAAAGCUAUUUAGGUAGCGCCUCGUGAAUUCAUCUCCGGGGGUAGAGCACUGUUUCGGCUAGGGGGCCAUCCCGGCUU